AGCAGCCGCGGUAAUUCCAGCUCCAAUAGCGUAUAUUAAAGUUGUUGCAGUUAAAAAGCUCGUAGUUGAAUUUCGGGGUCAGUAGAUUGGUCAUGCCUCCGGUAUGCACUGGUCUUACUGGCUCCUCCUUCCUGAUGAACCGUAAUGCCAUUAAUUUGGUGUUGCGGGGAGACUGGACUGUUACUUUGAAAAAAUUGAGUGUUUAAAGCAGGCUAACGCUUGAAUACAUUAGCAUGGAAUAAUGAAAUAGGACGUUCGAUCUUAUUUUGUUGGUUUCUAAGAUUGACGUAAUGAUUAAUAGGGAUAGUUGGGGGCAUUAGUAUUCAAUUGUCAGAGGUGAAAUUCUUGGAUUUAUUGAAGACUAACUACUGCGAAAGCAUUUGCCAAGGAUGUUUUCAUUAAUCAAGAACGAAAGUUAGGGGAUCGAAGACGAUCAGAUACCGUCGUAGUCUUAACCAUAAACUAUGCCGACUAGGGAUCGGAUGAUGUAAUUUUUAAUGACUCGUCGCGCCUUAAC
rnacentral:rRNA from 1 species